UGGAGCGAGCCAUAGUUAGGCCAGUAUCUGCCGGCAGGGGCAGUUGUUUGCGGAUAACCUAGGGGGACGUAGUCGUAUCGUAACCGUUGCCUCAUUACGAAACAAUCAACGAGAACGAUCGCACAUGUCGCGAUUAUAGAAGAAGAGAAUAUACUCGGUGUUGGUUAAGCUGCUGCGAUCUUCUGUCCAGUAAAAUCAUCGAUUCAAACGAUAAAACUGCAUCAUUCCUUCAUACACUUGAAAAUCAGGCUCUGCGGAACACAUUUUCCCGACACCUGUGUGGUGUAUCCGUUUUGUGUGUAUAUAUAAAUGUAAAUAUAUGAACGUAUGCAUGUAUGUAUGUGCGCGUGUUUAUAGACGCGGGUGUGUUCGUACUUUUGCGGUGUGAAAACCGCGUGGUAUACAAUAAUCGGGCAAAACAGCAGAACUUUGUUGCUCCUGCGAACGUGACAAGAGAUUGAAGAUAAAAUAAAAAAAUAGCGGUGUCAAAAAAAGUGGUCGUGUGUAUAUAAGCAGUGAAAUAAAAACAGUUAACGUGUGAUAAUAGUUGCCGAAAACGAAAACGUGGAUUGAAUUAUGAAUCCCGAAGACUAUGAAACAUUGCCGAGUGCAUCGGUCGGCGUACACAUGACUGCAGGUGCUUUUGCCGGAAUUAUGGAACAUUGCGUCAUGUAUCCCCUUGACAGUGUCAAGACAAGAAUGCAAGCGUUGACACCAGGUCCUGGUGGAGGCGGAGGAGUUGGCGCAGUCCUCAGUAGAAUGGUGCGCCAAGAAGGUGUCCUUCGACCUAUUCGUGGUAUUGGUACCAUGGUAACCGGAGCUGGACCGGCUCAUGCCCUGUAUUUUUCCUGUUAUGAAUAUCUCAAGAACAAAAUGAUCAGUACUAAAACACCUUCACAAUUCAAUCAUCUAGUCUAUGGAGCAGCAGGCUGUGUCGCUACUCUGCUUCAUGACGGAGUCAUGAAUCCUGCUGAAGUGGUAAAACAACGGUUGCAGAUGUACAAUUCACCGUACAGAAAUGCUAUAAGUUGUAUAAAGCAUAUAUAUAAAACGGAAGGUGUAUUCGCAUUUUAUCGAAGUUAUACGACACAAUUGGCCAUGAACGUGCCGUUCCAGAGCAUACACUUCAUGGCAUACGAAUUUGGGCAAAAUUGGAUGAAUCCGGAACAUAUAUACAACCCACGAGCGCACAUGAUUUCCGGUGCGAUGGCGGGUGCAGUAGCAGCUGCAAUAACAACACCGUUGGACGUUUGUAAAACUCUUUUAAAUACGCAACAGGAUGGAAAAGUGCAAGGAAUGGUCGAUGCUUUCAAGCAAGUGUACAGGUUCGGGGGCCUUCAAGGCUAUUUUCGUGGUCUAAACGCAAGAAUAAUCUAUCAAAUGCCAGCCACAACGAUCUGUUGGUCAACGUACGAAUUUUUCAAAUACGUGUUACAAGGAAAAUCGGAUGAGACGCGUUUCGGGACAGAAACCGACGACAGUUCCGGUGGUACAACACCACCCUGUUCGCCAAUAGUACCACGAACGAGUAGUUUUCAGGGAGCUGGUCUCUACUUCAACAACAAAGCCCCUGGGCCGGUAUUACUCGACGUAACAAGGAGUUAGGCACGUAUGAAAGAAAAUUAAAAACAAAAAAAUGAACGAAAAUGAGUCGCGCGAUGAUCCGUCACGGACUGCGCUUAUUGAGGCGUCCUGGAAGGAGCCGAUUUUUUUAUAUUUCAAAAGUUUAUUAUUGAUGACCGAAUAUUUUGUUAAAUCGAAUAUGAAAUCGAUCAAUACCGUACAAUAAUUCCUGAUGAGUAAACAAAUUAGAAGAAAAUAAUUGAGAAAACUGAAAAAAUUAAUGAAAAUAAAUAUUCUCAUGCUAGAAAGCAGAAUAAUUUAUUCGUACUGAAAAAAAGAAAAUAAUCUAUCACGAGCGAGCAAAAGAGAAAAAAAAUAAUUAAUACGAACUCAGCGUCCAGUGCAGGACACAGGCAGGUUUGUCAAACGAACGAAACGAUGAAACUUAAUUCGAUUACUUUACCAAGAGACUCACACGUGUCAUCCACGAGAUACAACUUUCAUUAUUUCUUUCUCUCAUUCGUUCUUCGCUCAUUCACCCAUUAGCUUAUUUUAUAACAUCACAGAAUUUUCGUGUAUGAACACGUGUUGCACAAAUAAAAGCGUGAUCUGAUACAUUUAUACAUGUUUCAUUUUCGUCGGAAAUCAAAAUAUCAAAACUGUGUCACACUUUUUCGUCAUUUUCGAAUGAAAGUCGUCUAAAUCUGAGGAAACUUUUGUUGUUCUUACGUUCGCGACAACGGUUUUUCCAUUACGACCUGUUACGACGAUGCUCUGAACUAAUUUGAAUUGAAUUUGAGUUGACAUGAUGAAAAUCUUAAAAUAGAAUGAACCAUGUUGCGUUCGCUAAGACUCACUAAUUUUCACUUGUGAUUUUUGUUUUCUUGUAAAAUCGUUCAAACUUUCACAGCAGCAAUAAUUCAUGGAAAACGCUUCGGCCAUAUGAUUAUUUCUCAUAAAAUUUUAUUUACGAUGAAAUGUAUAAAGCGAUCGUGCUUUUUGUUCAUUUUUUAGACAUCAACACUAGCAACACAGCCACUGAAAUCAUUAGUAAGAAUCAGUAUUCUUGGCGUCAUCAAUAUAGUUGAUUCAUUAAAAAAGAUACUCGUCUUAUAUGCUGUGCCCAUUGAAAGUUUAUUCAUUAUUAAUAACACGUACGUUUCCAGUUUUGAAUUUUAUUUCAUCAGAAUUCCGUUCUUAGCAAUUUUGCGAAAAAUAAAAAAAUUCCAGACAUUUUUGAGACUUUAUGAAUUUUGAAUAAUAUGAACGUUAUACAAUAGCGUCGAAAAGAUAAACAAAAUCAUUAAUCUUCUACCUUCGAUUAAGCAGGAGCCUCCAUUCCAAAAGCAUUGUAUUUAGUCCAUGCCCCAAUAAAAACUUGAGUCGUUCUUUCGAAAUUUUGUAAGAGCCAAGAUAUUAUUCUAGUCGUUUUGAAACUGUUUUAUUAUUGGAUCAACGGGGAAGGACUGCUAAAAAAGUAUUCAUUUAAAUAUUUCAUCGUUGGUACGGCAUCGACGUUUAUAAUAUCCAUUGUUCAUAGUGUCCCGAAGAUGAUUGUUGGAAAAUUUGCCCGAAAGCAACAGAAUUUUUCUUUGGGAAUGAACGAGCAACGCAAAUUUUUCCGACGAAGCUACUCAAAGCAUCAUUUCUACGUGAUACUAUCUCGAGAGUAUUAAGAAUGACGCACGAGACAACGGUAACGUUGGCAGUCAUUUUCACAAUGAUUUGUUGUCGUCUCGGUCCGAGUAGGAGAAUGAUUUUCGAGGAGAAAAAGACGAAUGUCGAACGAGAAAAAUGAUGACUGAAAGAGAAAGAGAAAGAAAUAAAAAUUUCCAAUUCUCGUAAAUCUGAUUGCUUAAAGAAGGUCACGAGUUUGAAGACGAGGGGGGCAUACGAUGCUCCCGAUAUAACAAUGAAAUACACAUGAAUUGUAACGAGUACUCGCCAAGGCGGACGCCAAAGCAGACUAAAUAGUAACAUUGUACAGUAAGAAAAGCGAGAAAAAAAUUAGGUUCGAACGAAGCGGGAGUCGAGUUGGUGGGACGCAUGCAGAUAAAAGUUGCUAAUGAAAUCAUUGAAAUAGAGUAAUCGGCGUUACGAACGAGAGUAUUGUUAAUAUAAACAGUUGUAUCGAUUUUUUCCUCUCUUUCGUUCCUUCGUUUUUGUGUUUUGUUCUCUCGAACCAAUCGACUGUAAGCGAUAUACCAGUUAAAACGAAAUGAAAAAACAAACGUAUAAUAGCUCCAUAGUUUAUGCACUCGAUAGUUAAAUAUUAUUAUUCUAUCGAAUGCUCAUUAAGUGAACCGUUAACGAUCGAUUUCCUUGUGUACAAUAGCGAGAGCGACAAUGAUAUCGAUCACGACGAGACAAACGGUUUCAGAGCUUCGAAAAUUUUUUGUAAAAUUGAAACGAAUAUCGGAAAAGGAGUAAAAACUUCGUCAAUUAGAGUUGUAAAUUGGAUUUUUGUGACGUUGAAGAUAGCAAAGGAGAUACUCCCAAUAUUAUUUAUUAAUUUCUCCAUUUCUCAUCAAAUUUCUUGAGUUGUACCUCAGAAAUAAAAAAAAGUGAUAAAUUCUCGUAGUUUUAAAUGACUGUUGAAAUUUGAAAAUUACUCGAUCAUAAAAUGUUGAAUUUGGUCGUAUCUUCAAUGACCAAAUACCAAAAUAUCGGAUUUUUCUAUCGAAAUUUUGAAAAUAAGUCAAUAAUUAAGAUUAACGAGUAAUUAACGCAUACAAUUUGACGUUUUUCUUUUUCUUCCCUCACACAAUAUUGCUUCCCAUGGCUGCCGAUAGCUGGGCCAAAGUCAUACGAUGUUGAGUUUGAGAGAAGGUGAUAACGGGGUGAUUAUUACCGAACAGUUUUGCUCUUUUUCCCCUCGCAAUGAAUCGCCGGUAAAGCCGUCAACGACAUAUAUAUAUUUUUUUGUUUUUUUCCCUUCAUUGUUAAAUAAUGUAGAUAUAAAUAUAUAAUAUCGCGCGUAUUUUAUAUCCAAAAAAGAAACAGGAAAAUGUUCCAUGUGAGAAAUUAAAUGAACCGUUUGAAUCGUUGAAUAUUUUCCUCUUUAUUCGUUUGAAUCGUUUGAACGAUGUAAAUAGAGCAUGCUCCCACCUUGUAUGAUUAUUAUCUAUAGCAUCGAAAUAUACUGAUGAUAUUGCGGAGCCACGCUACUUUAUGGAUACAGAGCUCAAAGCACUGAAUGUAUUGAUAAUGUAAAUAAAUCAUAAUGCGAGCUACA